GAUGAACGCUGGCGGCGUGCUUAACACAUGCAAGUCGAACGGAAAGGCCGAAGCUUGCUUCGGUACUCGAGUGGCGAACGGGUGAGUAACACGUGGGUGAUCUGCCCUGUACUUCGGGAUAAGCUUGGGAAACUGGGUCUAAUACCGGAUAUGACGAUCUCUUGGAUGGGGUUGUGGAAAGCUUUUGCGGUAUGGGAUGAGCUCGCGGCCUAUCAGCUUGUUGGUGGGGUAAUGGCCUACCAAGGCGUCGACGGGGAGCCGGCCUGAGAGGGUGUACGGCCACAUUGGGACUGAGAUACGGGCCAGACUCCUACGGGAGGCAGCAGGGGGGAAUAUUGCACAAUGGGAGCAAGCCUGAUGGAGCGACGCCGCGUGGGGGAUGACGGCCUUCGGGUUGUAAACUCCUAUCGCAAUCGAAGAAGCCUUUUGGUGACGGUAGGUUGAGAAGAAGCACCGGCUAACUACGUG
rnacentral:rRNA from 1 species